UACGAAGGGGGCUAGCGUUGUUCGGAAUCACUGGGCGUAAAGGGCGCGUAGGCGGCCCGCUAAGUCGAACGUGAAAUCCCCGAGCUCAACUCGGGAACUGCGUCCGAUACUGGCGGGCUUGAAUCCGGGAGAGGGAUGCGGAAUUCCAGGUGUAGCGGUGAAAUGCGUAGAUAUCUGGAGGAACACCGGUGGCGAAGGCGGCAUCCUGGACCGGCAUUGACGCUGAGGCGCGAAAGCUAGGGGAGCAAACGGG
rnacentral:rRNA from 1 species